rnacentral:rRNA from 1 species
CCCCUAGAUGUUCUGGGCCGCACGCGCGCUACACUGAACAGUUCAACAAGUCUUAACCUUGGCCGAUAGGUCUGGGUAAUCUUUGAACGCUGUUCGUGAUUGGGAUAGACCUUUGCAUUUAUGGGUCUUCAACGAGGAAUUCCUAGUAAACGCAAGUCAUCAGCUUGCAUUGAUUACGUCCCUGCCCUUUGUACACACCGCCCGUCGCACCUACCGAUUGAAUGGUCCGGUGAAAUCUCGGGACGGCGGCUUGGUCGCUUGCGUCCGACUGCUGAAACUUGAUUAAACCAUAUCAUUUAGAGGAAGGUGAAGUCGUAACA